rnacentral:rRNA from 1 species
UGUGGUUUAAUUUGAAGAUACGCGUAGAACCUUACCCACUCUUGACAUCUUCUGCAAAGCUAUGGAGACAUAGUGGAGGUUAACAGAAUGACAGAUGGUGCAUGGUUGUCGUCAGCUCGUGUCGUGAGAUGUUCGGUUAAGUCCUGCAACGAGCGCAACCCUUAUCCUUAGUUACUACCAUUUAGUUGAGCACUCUAAGGAGACUGCCCGAGUAAUCGGGAGGAAGGUGGGGACGACGUCAAAUCAUCAUGCCUCUUACGAGUGGGGCUACACACGUGCUACAAUGGACGGUACAAA